rnacentral:rRNA from 1 species
ACCUACGGGGGGCAGCAGUGGGGAAUAUUGCGCAAUGGGCGAAAGCCUGACGCAGCGACGCCGCGUGAGGGAUGAAGGUCUUCGGAUCGUAAACCUCUGUCAGCAGGGAAGAACGGGCACUGUGCUAAUCAGCAGUGAAUUGACGGUACCUGCAAAGGAAGCACCGGCUAACUCCGUGCCAGCAGCCGCGGUAAUACGGAGGGUGCGAGCGUUAAUCGGAAUUACUGGGCGUAAAGCGCUCGCAGGCGGUAUGUCAAGUCAAGGGUGAAAUCCCCGCGCUCAACGUGGGAACUGCCUUUGAAACU